GAUCUCUCUGAAACUAUACUACAAGGUUUCUUACUACAAAGGAAAGGCUGGAAUUGUGUUUUUGGGUUCUUGCUCCAAGGGGGGUUUCAAUAAGUGAGGGUCCAAAAAGUGGCCCAAAUAAGCAUUUUUGUAGUUUUCAGUCAAUAACUUGUGUUUAAGUGUAUAAAACUCUCUGAAAUUAUUCCACAAGUUUCCAUACUACAAAGGGAUGGUUAUAAGGGGUAAUGGAUCAAAUCAUUAAGCAAUUAGGGGCAAAAAAGGGGG
rnacentral:lncRNA from 1 species